GACGAACGCUGGCGGCAUGCCUAAUACAUGCAAGUUGAACGAUGAUAUUCUCUGCUUGCAGAGAAUUGAAGAGUAGCGAACGGGUGAGUAACACGUGGGGAACCUGCCCAUGAGAGGGGGAUAACAUUCGGAAACGGAUGCUAAUACCGCAUAAUGCUUUGGACCGCCUGGUCCAGAGACGAAAGACGGCUUUUGCUGUCACUCAUGGAUGGCCCCGCGCCGUAUUAGCUAGUUGGUGAGGUAAUGGCUCACCAAAGCUGUGAUACGUAGCCGACCUGAGAGGGUGAUCGGCCACACUGGGACUGAGACACGGCCCAGACUCCUACGGGAGGCAGCAGUAGGGAAUCUUCCACAAUGGGCGAAAGCCUGAUGGAGCAAUGCCGCGUGAAUGAAGAAGGUCUUCGGGUCGUAAAGUUCUGUUAUUAGAGAAGAACAAGUCAAGGAGUAACUGUCUUGACUUUGACGGUACCUAACCAGAAAGUCACGGCUAACUACGUG
rnacentral:rRNA from 1 species